rnacentral:rRNA from 1 species
UACGUAGGGUGCAAGCGUUGAUCCGGAAUUAUUGGGCGUAAAGAGCUCGUAGGCGGUUCUGCGCGUCGGCUGUGAAAACUUGGGGGCUCAACCCCCAAGCCCUGCAGUCGGAGUACGGAGACUAGAGUGCGGUAGGGGAGAUUGGAAUUCCUGGUGUAGCGGUGGAAUGCGCAGAUAUCAGGAGGAACACCGAUGGCGAAGGCAGAUCUCUGGGCCGUAACUGACGCUGAGGAGCGAAAGCGUGGGGAGCGAACAGG